rnacentral:sRNA from 1 species
UAAACAGCCAACGGCGCUCAAUCUCACGUUUUCGGUAGUAAUCCAGCCCCUCAAU